UCUAGGGGCGAUAAGCACGUUGAUUGUACCGGUUUCCAAUGAAUCACUGAAGGUAACCAACUUUGCGCGUGGUUAGUAUAGGGAUGGGUGACCAUCUGAGCAAUCGCGUGCUGCUGGAU
rnacentral:rRNA from 1 species